rnacentral:rRNA from 2 species
CACCGCGGUUAUACGAGAGGCCCAAGUUGACAGACGCCGGCGUAAAGUGUGGUUAAGGAAAAUUUUAAACUAAAGCCGAACGCCUUCAAGGCAGUCUGAAUGCAUUCGAAGGUACGAAGCCCCACCACGAAAGUGGCUUUAUGACUCCUGAUUCCACGAAAGCUAAGGAA